GACGUGGGGGGCAAGCGUUGUCCGGAAUUACUGGGCGUCAAGCGCGUGUAGGCGGGAGAUCAGGCGGCGUGUGAAAGACGAGGGCUCAACCCUUGGAGGUCGCGCCGAACCGGUAUUCUUGAGACUGCGAGGGGCGGGUGGAAUGGUUGGAGGAGCGGUGAAAUGCGUAGAGCCCAAUCAGAACACCAGUGGCGAAGGCGGCCCGCUGGAGCAGGACUGACGCUGAGACGCGAAAGCGCGGGGAGCAAACGGG
rnacentral:rRNA from 1 species